rnacentral:rRNA from 1 species
UUGUCCUACGGGAGGCAGCAGUGGGGAAUAUUGCACAAUGGGGGAAACCCUGAUGCAGCGACGCCGCGUGAGUGAAGAAGUAAUUCGUUAUGUAAAGCUCUAUCAGCAGGGAAGAAAAUGACGGUACCUGAGUAAGAAGCCCCGGCUAACUACGUGCCAGCAGCCGCGGUAAUACGUAGGGGGCAAGCGUUAUCCGGAUUUACUGGGUGUAAAGGGAGCGUAGACGGCAGUGCAAGUCUGGAGUGAAAGGCGGGGGCUCGACACCCGGACUGCUCGGGAAACUGUACGGUCGGUG